ACGUAGGGUGCGAGCGUUAAUCGGAGUUACUGGGCGUAAAGCGUGCGCAGGCGGUUUUGUAAGUCAGAUGUGAAAGCCCCGGGCUCAACCUGGGAACUGCGUUUGAAACUACAAGGCUAGAGUGUAGCAGAGGGGGGUAGAAUUCCACGUGUAGCAGUGAAAUGCGUAGAGAUGUGGAGGAAUACCAAUGGCGAAGGCAGCCCCCUGGGUUAACACUGACGCUCAUGCACGAAAGCGUGGGGAGCAAACAGGA
rnacentral:rRNA from 1 species